GAGUUUGAUCGUGGCUCAGAUUGAACGCUGGCGGCAGGCCUAACACAUGCAAGUCGAGCGGAUGACGGGAGCUUGCUCCUUGAUUCAGCGGCGGACGGGUGAGUAAUGCCUGGGAAUCUGCCUGGUAGUGGGGGACAACGUUUCGAAAGGAACGCUAAUACCGCAUACGUCCUACGGGAGAAAGCAGGGGACCUUCGGGCCUUGCGCUAUCAGAUGAGCCUAGGUCGGAUUAGCUAGUUGGUGGGGUAAUGGCUCACCAAGGCGACGAUCCGUAACUGGUCUGAGAGGAUGAUCAGUCACACUGGAACUGAGACACGGUCCAGACUCCUACGGGAGGCAGCAGUGGGGAAUAUUGGACAAUGGGCGAAAGCCUGAUCCAGCCAUGCCGCGUGUGUGAAGAAGGUCUUCGGAUUGUAAAGCACUUUAAGUUGGGAGGAAGGGCAGUAAGUUAAUACCUUGCUGUUUUGACGUUACCGACAGAAUAAGCACCGGCUAACUCUGUGCCAGCAG
rnacentral:rRNA from 3 species